UUUUUUCUUUUUCCAUGUGCCUGGGAGGAAAUUGCUUUGGCUUGUUUCCUGGCUCAGGUUUCUAGUGAGGGUUGGGUAAAGAGUAUAGUCCUACUAUGGUGCAGAAAUACAUAAUCACACACAGCAAGUUGGUGUGGAGUUGUGUUGUUGGGGUGACAUUUAUUAGGAAAGACAAUAAGGAAUGGUCUCUCAUUGCUCGAUCACAAUUACUGAACUCAAAAUGUGUCCGCUCACAGACUGCUGCUUGCCUUUGGCUCCUCAGGGGUGGAGCAAAUGAUUUCCUUCCUGGAUGGGGCAGUCUAUGGUCAGGGUACAAGAGUUGCUGUAGCAACCCCGCAGCUGUGCUCUGCCUAGCAGAAACUCCACUGAAAGCUCCCUGAGGACAAGAUUCUUUCUUGCUUACUGCUGUAGCCCAGCACCUAGCAUAAUACCUGCCCCGUGCACAGACAACAGGCACUCAGAAUGAUGCUUUCUUUGAUAUUAUGAUGCUAAGAGGAAGAGGUUUGAGAACCAAGGGAUCAGAAAAUUAGUAAAUGCAAACCAUGGAUGAAUGUUAUAAGAUUGCUUCCACAGAAAGGAUCCAGGUGUUGGUAAAAGAACUGGCUGUGCAAUUGACAGAACUGAAGUCUGAGAUAGAAGAACAGGGGACUCUUCAGGGGUCAACUCAUCGAGCUUACAGCUCUGUUCAAAUGCCAAAGGACAUUUCUUACUUUAGAAGAGAAAGGGAACUGGCUCUAAAGAAAAC